UACAGCCAUAUUGCGGUGAAACACCGGUUCUCGUACGAUCGCCGAAGUUAAGCAACGUUUGAGCCUGGUCAAUAUCUAGAUGGGUGACCACUCGCGAAUACUAGGCGCUGUAA